CCAAUAGCAUAAAUUUAUCUUUUUUUAUCUAAUAGAUGUAGUUUAAUAUAUAAUUACUCAAACUAAAACUUGUAAGAACCAAAAAUUCAUAUAAAACUUAAUAACAAGUACAAUAUUUCUCAAAUACUCAAAUUGUAUUAUAAUAUUUCUCAAACAAACAUAAAAUAUAUCAAAAAUUAGCCAAAUCAAAAUUCUCCUCUCCAAGCAUCUCGUUAUCACAAAGAGGGGCU
rnacentral:lncRNA from 1 species